CUUAAACAAUGGGCUGUGAAGUUUUGUCCGCAAUUUGGUCGCUUGGACAAGAUGGAGCCAAUAGCGAAACCGACAUUGUGAGAG
rnacentral:ncRNA from 2 species